rnacentral:rRNA from 1 species
AACGAACGCUGGCGGCGUGCCUAACACAUGCAAGUCGAACGUGAUUAGAGAGCUUGCUCUCUAUGAAAGUGGCGCACGGGUGAGUAACGCGUAGAUAAUCUACCUGAUGAUCCGGGAUAACACUUCGAAAGGGGUGCUAAUACCAGAUAAGCCCACGGGGUCUUUGGACUCUGCGGGAAAAGGAGGGGACUUUCGGGCCUUCCGUCAUCAGAUGAGUCUGCGUACCAUUAGCUAGUUGGUAAGGUAAAGGCCUACCAAGGCGACGCUGGUUAGCUGGUCUGAGAGGAUGAUCAGCCAAACUUGAACUGAGAAACGGUCCAGACUCCUACUGGAGGCAGCAGUGGGGAAUUUUGCGCAAUGGGGGAAACCCUGACGCAGCAACGCCGCGUGAGUGAUGAAGGCCCUUGGGUCGUAAAGCUCUGACAGAGGGAAAGAAGUGUAUUGUGGCUAAUAUCCAUGAUGCUUGACGGUACCCUCAAAGGAAGCACCGGCUAACUCCGUGCCAGCCGCCGCGGUAA